rnacentral:rRNA from 1 species
UACGUAGGGUGCGAGCAUUGUCCGGAAUUAUUGGGCGUAAAGAGCUCGUAGGCGGCCUGUCGCGUCGGAUGUGAAAGCCCGGGGCUUAACCCCGGGUCUGCAUUCGAUACGGGCAGGCUGGAGUUCGGUAGGGGAGAUCGGAAUUCCUGGUGUAGCGGUGAAAUGCGCAGAUAUCGGGAGGAACACCAGUAGCGAAGGCGGCUCGCUGGGCCAUUCCUGACGCUGAGACGCGAAAGCUAGGGGAGCGAACAGG